UUUCCUUCAUGUAGAUUGCUGUGUGUGUCUUUUUCUUCAUAAUUCCCCUUAAUUCUGUGUGCUUUGAAUGACACUGUUGUUGUUACUGUUGUUUUAUAUCCAUUGUCACAUAAAACUCUUAUCAUUUAUUCUUCCAGGCCAGGGACUGUCCUUAUGGGUAGAGAUACACUAUCUGCAGGAAUUUAUUUUUUUACGUAUUUUUACUAGUUGAUGGGAAAGACAUUGGGAAAGACCUGGGCUGGAUUUGUGAUGAGCUGUGUUUACUGAGCAUGAUGAAGUAAAGCUCAACGUGAUUACUCUGAAGUCCAGCCUUACUGUCAGUCUAAGGACUCAGGAUACAAAUACUCAAAACAUAAAUUCUUAGACUCUAAAUUUCACAUGGUUUUUCCUAUCAGUACAGGUUAAGGAUAAUGGCGUGUUGUAGGUUUUUCCAGUGCAAUACAAGGAAGUUGGUUCUAGAUCCUUUAGUACAGUUAAUGUUUUGUAGAGUGUGUUCUAUGUUCACUGCAUUGGUAUGUCUCAUCUUUGGCAUGAUCUUGGCUCACCGCAACCUCCGCCUCUUGCAUUCAAGCACUUCUUGUCUCAGCCUCCAGAGUAGCUGGGAUUACAAGCAUGUGCCAACAUGCCCGGCUAAUUUUUGUAUGCUUUUGUGGAGACAGGCUUUGCCAUGUUUGCCAGGUUGGUCUCUAAGUGAUCCACCCGCCUCAGCCCCACAAAGUGCUGGGAUUACAUGCGUGAGCCACCGUACCCAGCCACACCUUUGCUUAUUUCUACUAUGCAUUUCAAGUGAUCAUUUCAAGAGAAUAAGUACUUAGGAGCUCCUAUGCUCUUUUUUUUUUUAACCCUGUUGCUUGCAUCACCCGGUUCCAACCCUAUAUGAAAGUUUCAUGAGCAUGUUUCUGUCACUGAGGCAGCUUCUCCAUUUGGCAUAUAAUUGAGAAAUUGCUAGUUUGUGGCUGAGACAUUGGUUUGAGAGGAGACGUAAUUUAUAUAUUUAGCAGAAUGCUUAAGUUACAUUUCCAGAGAUUAAUUUAAUUCUACUUUUAAUUAAGUUAACCCUUUGCUGUAUCUUUACAAGACGUAGGUGGAGAUUUAAUUUUGACUCUUAGAUUCAGUUAAGGUGAUGAAAUUGGCAUUAUAUAGUUUUUGAUGCUGAGCCCCACGGAGAUUAAAAGAUUUGCUAAACACCAUGCAAUUUUUGAAUCACAUCUCUAAUCUCACAUUAUUCUGUACUCUAUUUUUUGCUUGUAUGAUUGAUGGGUCUUUCAUUAUCUGUGAUUGACAUUCUAUGAGUAGGUGCUUUUGCUUUGCCUAUAAGUCGUUAUUAUGAAGGAGGAAUGGUGAAUAAGAAGGUAAUUUAGAAAAGCCUAUAUUAAAUAUACCAUGAACAUUGAAUAUAGCAAGAUCUUAUUCUCUAGUUGUUAUCUUAGUUGAUAAAUUCUGUAUGUGUUAUGUGUUUGUGUAUACAUAUGUACAUAUUAAUGAUGUGGGUGUUGAUACUGUGAUCACAUGACAAAUGACUGGUUUAUAGUGAAAAGCUGUUGGGGUUCAGAGAAAUGAACAUUCUUCUAAAAGUGAGGUAGAUAAGUUAUUUUAUAGUUCUUGCCUUUGAGUCUCUGUUCUUCUGGUAGAAAUGUUAGUGUAUUUAUAACCUCUCAGAUUUGUUUGGUUCUCUUAGUGUUCUUGAUCCAGGCAGUUAGCGAUAUGUUGGAUGAAUUGAGAAAAAUGAGUUUUUCCUUUCCUACUAACUGAAUUAGAUUAGAAAUAAGCAGUUAAGUGAGAAAAAUAGGGAAUUAGUGCCAGAUAUGUUGAGGUGUAGUGUUGACAGGGGGUCUUUUACCUUCAGAUGUUUGGUGCAACUUAGAGAAUGCAGUGGUAGUUGCUGGCCCAGCCCAUCCAAACAACCUCAUUUGUGGGGUGAUACUUCACAGAUGACUUAAAAUAAAUCCCCUGAAAAUAAGAAUCUCUGGAAGAGAUGACACGUGUAUGUGCGUGUGUGCACGUGUGUGCGUGUGUGCACGUGUGUGUGUGUGUGUGUUUUGGUGGAGUGGUAGGAGGAGGGUUGGCUUAAUGAUGAGAAUCAUUAUUUCUUGAAUUGGAUGACACUUUCCAUUCCUGCAAAGGGAGCGUGAGGUCCAGCCUUGCUAAUUCAUGAUCAAAGUAAUUUGCUGAGAGUAGUGGAAGGAAUGAGUUAGCAGAAGAUGGCAAAUUGCAUUAAUGAGUAGUAGGAGGAAAACAAAUAAGCAAAUUUUAAUGUGGUUGGAACAUGUUCCUGAGUUGUAUGAAGGGAGACAGGUAAAUUGAGAGUAAUGUUAUGAUUGUUUCAUUUGUUGGAAAUAAGGAAAACUUGCAUGGUUUGAAUUGUGGAACAAUAGGUGGUGUAUGUUAGGAGUCAGAAUUAUCAUUUAACAUGUAAGUUUCUGUUUUACUUCAGAUAAAGAAUGUCAGCUACCUUUCCCAUGUUAGCUUCUAUACCUUUUCUUGAGGUGACCAUAAAUAGGUAAUAUUGUCUUUCACUGAGAUUGUUUUAAUUAGCGAAGUGUGCUGAUUAAAUGUCUUUUCUUGAUAAAUUAUUAGAAUGAAUAAAGGAUGGUAUUUCUAGAUAGCCUUGGUUAGUCAGUGAUUUGUUUAAAUUUAGUGUGGAUAAGAAUCACCUGAGGGCUUUUUAAACACAGUUUACUGGGUCCUGACCUUAGUGUUUCUGGCUUAUUAGGUAUAAGUAUGAGAAGUUGAUUUUUAUCAAGUUUCUAGAUGCUACAGAUCUAGGAACCAUACUUAGAGUGCUAUUAUAUGUCUUUUAAUGUACACUGAUAUGGAAAAAGCAAUGAUACAUCAUGUUAUCGCAUAUUUUAAAAUGUGAUCAUGACCAGGGAAUCUUGAAAGUUGUCUUAUGUAAUAAUGUAAAUCAAUGUAGAAUACCAUAUAUUUUUUUCUUGCAAGGUUAUUAUUAAUAGGAAUGACUAUUUGUAGCCAAUGUGUUCAAAUGCAUGGGAGGACGUAAACACUUCAUAAUUUCCUGGAAAUACAGACAUAUAUCACUUAAAAUAAUACAUUUCUAAUAUAAAUUUAAAUUAUCUACGUGAUAUGAGGAAACGAGCUUAUUUUUGAUAAUUUUCCUAGCAGUGAAUCAACUAUACUCAUUUGAAUCUAAAUUAAAUUAAAUUUGAGUAAAUUCAGCCAUUUCUAAAUUCAGUCCAUAUAAAUUCACUUUGGGUAAAAGAAGACAAAAUUCCUGAAAACAGUAGAUUAAAAAAAUAACAUUUUAAGAGCAGGUAUGAUCUCAAUGAAUAUAGUGUGGUAAUUUCUGCCUAAUACCUACCCUUUUGGAGGAAGGAAAGGUAAUCCUGUUUGUGUUUAAUGUUAAUUACUGAAC
rnacentral:lncRNA from 10 species